rnacentral:rRNA from 1 species
AAGGGUUAAUAGCCCCUAGCCUGACGGUACCUUUCGAGGAAGCCCCGGCUAACUACGUGCCAGCAGCCGCGGUAAUACGUAGGUGGCAAGCGUUGUCCGGAAUUAUUGGGCGUAAAGCGCGCGCAGGCGGCCUUUUAAGUCUGAUGUGAAAGCCCACGGCUCAACCGUGGAGGGUCAUUGGAAACUGGAAGGCUUGAGUGCAGAAGAGAAGAGCGGAAUUCCACGUGUAGCGGUGAAAUGCGUAGAGAUGUGGAGGAACACCAGUGGCGAAGGCGGCUCUUUGGUCUGUAACUGACGCUGAGGCGCGAAAGCGUGGGGGAGCGAACAGGAUUAGAUACCCUGGUAGUCCACGCCGUAAACGAUGAGUGCUAAGUGUUGGGGGGUUUCCGCCCCUCAGUGCUGCAGCUAACGCAUUAAGCACUCCGCCUGGGGAGUACGGCCGCAAGGCUGAAACUCAAAGGAAUUG